rnacentral:rRNA from 1 species
AUGGAGAAUUCCGGAGCUAGUUCCUCCGGGAUCAGUGAUGUCGAGCAGAUGAUGAAGGAGUUGGGACUGAAGGAGGAGGACUUGGACGAUGUGGUCUUCGAUGAGCAACCUGCGCCGCCGGAGGGGCCGAGAUGGGUAGCCCUAGCUAGGGUUAACACCUCCAAAAUCUACAGCCAGACUUGGUUCUUCAGAAACAUGAGAUCGGCAUGGGAUAUUGCGCAAGAGGCCAGGUUCAAGCCUCUGGAGGAAAACUUGUAUACGGUCACAUUCACUUGCUUGGGUGACUGGGAGAGAGUUAUGAACGACGGCCCAUGGAAUUUCAGGGGAGAUGCGGUGAUUCUGCUGCCAUAUGACGGGAUAACGAAGCCGUCCACUGUGAAGCUUGAGACAAUCGACAUAUGGAUCCAAAUCCAUGACGUACCAGAGUUGUAUGCCCAUCUGGUGGCUCCUUUGGCACCAAAGGUGGGCGAGGUCCUUUUCUCUGAACCUAACUCACAUGACUUUGUCGGCAACUUCCACCGAGUGUGGGUUAGAAUCAACGUCAACAACCCUCUCAAGGACGCGGUCUCUAUGAUCAGGGAGGGGAAGAGACAGAUAUAUAGAGUUAAGUAUGAGAGGCUUCCCGACUGGUGCGCUGUAUGUGGCAUGCUUGGUCACCAGUUUAAGGAACACGGCAAUGGCGUUCACCCACCGUCAGCCCUUGUGUUCAAGGAUCUCUGA